GAGUUGUCUUGGCCCUUGUGUCUCUUCACAGCAACAGAACAAAGGCAUGGGUGAACUGACCUCAAACAUGGGAUCCUCCUGUGUCUACCUUCAAGAGCUACAAUUACAGGCAUGCACCACCAUGCUAGGCCUAAUUUAACUUACUUCUCUAAGAUAAUUAUUCUCUUUCAGGUUUCCCAAUGGGAAGCAAGCUUAAACAAAUGUAUAAAGUAAAAUGUGAAACACAUCCAUAGAAAAUAAUCCCUUCUUUAAAUCAUUUUUACAGAAAUCUACAUUGGAGAUCCUUAAACAUUUUGGACACACUCCCUGUGACCCACUCAAAAAUAGAAAUCUAAAAAGUUGAACACUUUUUCACUUGUCAUAAGGAUACCUACUGUUCAACAAUUUUCAACAUAAGCUUAGGUAGCUGCUGGGGAUGUCACUUCCAGCAGACUGCAAAUAGUAACAUUUGAAACUAAUCAUGUCAUUUUUACAGGUGUCUAACCAUGUGUCUAGGCCAUUUAAUGCCCAUUUCCAUCUACUAAAAUAUACAGGAAAAAGUAUUGUGUAAUAUGUGGAGAUGGGAUAGCUUGCCUUUUUCUCCAGUUCAUUUUACUCAUGUUAUUUUAUCCUAAUGAAAUUGAUUUUAUUCUUGAAAGUCCUCUAUUAACCACACUGAUAUAAUUCCUUGCAAUGAAAUAGAUUCGGGAACUGUGUUUAUGCCUGGAAUUCAGAAGGAGAUUUGGAAGUAGAUUGAUGUCUUGAGGAACUGCUACUCCCCUAGGCAAUUAUUCAAUGGUUUAGUUCAACAUCAUGCUCAUUGGGAUAGAAUCUAGAGGCACAGGGGUAGGAGUGGGGGUGGGGGAACUCGACCAAAGCCAGUUCAUCCUCAGUGAGCAGGCUUCAAGAUCUUACCUGGGGAAGAGAAGCAGGCUAGUUAAAAUAGAGACUACUGUUAGUAUGGGACGCUCUCUCUGGAACCAUGGGAGUAUAGAGCAAUACUUCAUUGGCCUGGAGUGUAAGAAUAUACCCUGAUGGCUACAAGAAGGUUUAGCCCUGAUUUUAUUAGGCUGUCUCUGCACAGGGAGCCACAGACACUAUGAAGCUAAAGCCCCAGGAAGCAGCAAGCAGCUACAGCCAUCAGACCAGUACCCACUCUGGGGGUAGUUGCCCAGAAGGAGUGAAAGAAUGCACCCUGUGGGCAGCAGCUCCAUUGGCAGGCCCAUCAACGUGCUUUGGCUGUCUCAGUACAUUGUUGGCACAGCAGCUCUGAAGUAGCAGUGCCAGCCAGUGCCUGCAAACAGCAGUGGGCAAUACCAGCUCAUGAGAUUAUCCAAGGGCCAGUGCCUUUGCUUAGUGCCUUGUUGCAAGUUCCAAGGUGACAAUUUCCAAGAGAGCCAAAGCAGAAGAGCAAAAAGCCAACACUUUAAAGAUUUAUAGGCAGAGCCACAGGAAACACCAACUAGGCAUCUCUCAGAUAUAUCUACCAUAUAUGCCCAAGAGUCACAGAGGUACUGUAAAACUGAAGAAUGAGCCUAGACAAAGAAAGCAUAGACUCAUUUAUCUGUGAAAUAGAAACUAGGAAUAUUCCUGUAUGGGAGAAUGCCCAAUCAAAUUAGUCGACUGUUGAUCACACCAGGGCCAAGUGUACAAGCAGAAGAAAGAAGCAGGAGCAAGCAUGGCAAAGCUUGCAUUCUAAUUCUUAUACAAUUGAAAGGGUGAAAAAAAGUCAUGGCUUAUAAAUAGCCUUCAGUUCCAUUUAUCACCAUUCUAAAUGGUUGAUUUUAGUAUAGCUUCAAAGAACUUGAAGUAUAUAGAUGGGCUGAGUAUUUUACUGAUGCUUAAAACAGUGGUCCCCCCCCCCCCCGAGCAAAAUGGGGCCGUGGGGUUCAGGAUCAGGUGUGGACAAGAAGAGACUCUGUGCCCCAGAGAAGACAUACACUACAAAACUGAGGCCCUACCUCCAGCAAAUCUUCAAAGUGAAAAUCCACUCACAGCCGAGCCUGAAAUGGAAAACAUUCUAGGAAGAAGUUGUACCUGCUGCCACUCUGCCUUUGCUGUUUUGUUUCCCCAAGAGGAUGAGAAAACAACCCUUUACUGAACAGCACCAUAUUCCAAAAGCUUUUGGCUCCUGAAGACACAUCAGUGUACAUUCCCACAAGUCCCAGACCCUUCCUCUCACUGACAGUCACUGCCCCAGCCCAAGUCAGCUGCAACAAGUGAAGACAGUGCCAUCAAGUCCAAGGCUCUGCAGUGCAGAGAAGGAACCAGAUGAGGAAGAAGACUUCCUGAAGACAAGAGGAAACGUGGGGAUGCCGUGCAUUCAUGAGAAAUGGAGACAUCAGUAGAGUAUUGGACCUUGAGCCAGAAGGGAAGUCUGGAGUCCAUAUUGUUUGCAUCAUUUUCUACCAGAAGGAAGGAGUUAAAUUUAUAAAGAAGAGAGAAAUUGUGUGCUCUAGUUCUUUACAUGGUUCUGAUGUGUGACUCUGCAAAACUCCUUGGACAGAAAAUGAUGGCCAUCUCUAGCUUCAGAGACUCACUCUGAGAGCCCUUUAGAGUUUUGGUUACAUACAAUGGGUUUAACAUAAAUCUAA